rnacentral:lncRNA from 1 species
CGGUGCUCCCACACCAUCCACUCCCAUCCGUACAUCUCCCGCACUCCACUCUGCAGCGCACGGCGGGGGUCUCUCAUGCCUCACGAACACCUCAUUACUACGCACACCUCAUCACACGUCCAGGUCAGCCGCCACCACCACACUGCUGCCGCCGCCGUCCGCGCCACCUCCACCGCUCACAGGCGGCAGGCUGCUGGAGUCAGCCAGGAUGCGCACACGGCCGCCGUUGCUCUGCUCCCGGGCGGCGCGCGCGUUCAUGCUCGAGCUGCUGGCCAGCACCUGCUGCUGCUGGCUUGCCAAGGAGUGUGUGGCGCCGCCCUUCAACACUCCG